CUUGCAGGCUCAGCUUUGGCCUAGGGAGUCAGACCCUGCCUGCUUCUGGGCCCCAGAGCCACCCCCAUCCACUUGUGAUCUGGGAAAGUCAUUUAACACCAGGACCCUUGUUUUCUUAUCUGUAACAUGGAGAUGCUGGUAACUCGUGCCUCAUAAAAUCACUUGAUGUGGGUGAGAGAGAAAGCUAAGUGUUGAUGACAGUGUGGGCCUGACCGUGCCUGAGUAAGCCCCAUGGGAACACAGCCGUGGUGGGAAGCAGCUUCCCAGCAGCCCUCCCCGCCAUCGGGAGAAUCCCCUGAGGCCAUGAGAGGGUCUCAGGGAGGUGGACGGCCCAUCAAGUGAGAACCGAGGGCACUGUGCACUCCUGAAUCCUAGGACUCCUCUUAGGUUUGGAGGCUCUGGUGAUAAGGGGAACUGCUUCCAGCAGAAAACAAAGUCAUAGCGGUGUGAAACUGAGACCACCCAGUUAGGGCUUUACGUGCCACGAGAACCACAUGCAGAUGAGGUGGUUGGGUGAACCGUUCAAGGUGCUGUAGCUUUCAGGUCAUUGACUAACAACAUCAACAAUGAAAUGAAUCUGAGAAAACAGGAAAUUGAGAGCAAGAGAAAAAAAAGUUAAUUAUACUGAUUUUGUAUAAGACCCCUUUGAACACAUUUUUAAAAAAUCAAAUAGAAGGUGCCCAGGUCCACUGUGCCUUGUGAAUAUUUGUCUUGUAUAUCCUAGAGAUCUACGCAUUCAUGUGGGAAUUGAAAAGGACCCACAUUUUACUAGAAGCAUCGUUCAUUUUUGCCUCAAAACAAUGCCCACAUGUCAGAAGAACUUUCACAAUUCACAGGAACAGUGACCUAAUUAACCAACCAUAAAAUUGCCAAAUCCCUACUUCUCAUUGUUUAAUAUGCUUAGAAAACCCAUUCAAAUUGUGAAUUAUCAAGUGAGCUUACACUGAUAAAUAGAUCCAAUAUUUAGGAAUUUUUAAAUCUUCCAUUCCUUUUUUUUUUUUGUCUUUUUAAAAAUAGAACAUUAGAAUAUGUCCUCCAGGUUUUAGAGAUGGGGGAGACAUGCUUCCCUUUAUUUCUCAGUAACUCAGCCAAAAAAAAUCUGGAGAGAAUGCAAAGACAGCUACUGGAAACUUUGAAAAGUAGAUGUGAGCCCAUCAGGGAAGAGCUAGAGAAUCUGAAAUCUACUCGAAAAAGUGAGUUUGAUACUUUGUGUUCCUAUCCUAACUCCACACAGCCUGAAACUUGGAAGUGAGCAUGAUGGAGUGGAUACAGUGAGAUGCAGAAGAAAUCCUCCAGUUUGGGCUGGAAGGGAAAAAAGAGACCCCUAAAACUCAGAGACAGUGGAAGAAAUUCCUGGUGUUUUUUUCUUCUCUUUUUCUCUGUUCUUCCACAUAGCAAUUUAGUAUUGACUACAGCAUCUCUGUUACAAUGAUAGCACCGAAAUGUUGUAACCAUAUGGCCUGCAAAGCCAAAAAUACUUAUCUGACCAUCUACAGGAAAAGUUUGCUGAUCUGGAUGAAAUAUUCUGAUACUAAAUAUUCCAUUUUGAGGCUGAUAUUCCUAAUCUAUUCAUAAGGAUGGCAUAUCUACCCAGUGGGCCUGCUGGGACUCCAGUUACCCGAUGCACAUACAUUGCUUGGUGUGAAUGUACAAAGAGACCAAGAAAACCUCAGUCAAACUUGGAAAUUUCCUUUGUAAUAUUCUUUUUAAAGUUAGUUAUGUGGCAGUUUCGUGUGCAUUUUUGGUGAUGAUGCUCCACGGAACAUCUGCAGAUGUGCUGUCAAUUUGGACAGCUCUGACUACCGAGUGAAUGGGAAGUACUAACGAGAACUGUCUGCUUGGGAACUCCAUGAAGUUCGUGGCUUUUGUGAUUGAAAUAGCAUCAAUAAAAGGUUGACACUGUGGAACAACACAAGCCUGCAUGGACCUGGUUAUCUCUGACCUCGCACCACUCAUGAGACCAUACCUGAGCCCUACUCCACUUUGGCAGAACUGUUGCAUGGCCUCUCUUCAUAUAAUACCUCUCCGUACACCGUACACCGCAGCUCAAAGAAAGGAUAUAUGCUCCCUGUGAAGACUAAUGGAACUGUCCCUCCUGAUCCUCCUACAGACUUCCUCUGGCCUAAUGGGUGCACCAUUGCAUUAUAUCUGCCAUCUAUACACACAUAUACCUUUCAACCCUGCACUCUCUGAGAUGACUGGACUCAUGCCUAAAUAACUGAUGCUGUCCCUAGUGUAAGGUAAGCACUCAAUAGUUUCUCAGGAAAUGAAUAUGAUAAAUAUUUUGGCUGUUUAGAGGCUUUCCUUCACUUCAUUUUCUGUGUCCUCUUAUUUAAAAAGAAGUGCUCACUAGAGGUUACCUGAAGACAUAUCUGAUCCUUGAAACCUGCAGUAGUCUAACACAGAGGCCAAGAUCACAGGUCUUCAUAAAAGUAAUACUUUCCUCAUGACAAUGAAGUGCCACAGGGCCAACUCAAAAAUUGAGACUGAGCCUGGGAGGCCAUGUGGGUUCUCGGCUUUGUGCGGGCAGGAAUUCGACAGCCAGCCAACAGAGUGAAGAGAAAGCAAGUUUACUAAGAAAGUAAAGGAAUAACAGGGUGGCUAUGCCAUAGGCAGAGCAGCCCUGAGUGCUGCUGGUUGGCUUUUUCUAUGGUUAUUUCUUGAUUAUAUGCUAAACAAGGGGUGGAUUAUUCAUGAGUUUUGGGGGAAUGGGAGGACAGUUAUGGGAACUAAUGUUUCCUCCCCCUUUCAGACUAUAUAGGGUAAUUCUUGAUGCUACCAUCGCAUUUGUAAAUUGCCAUGGCAUUGGUAGGAGUUUCUUUGAGCAAGUUAACGUAUUAUAAUUAGCAUAUAAUGAGCAGUGAGGACAACCAGAGGUUGCUUUUGUGGCCAUCUUGGUUUUGGUGGGUUUUGGCUGGCUUCUUUACUGCAUCCUGUUUUAUCAGGUUUUUUUUGUUUUUUUGGUUUGUUUGUUUUUUGAGCUAGGUCUUGUAAAACAGUCCUGCCAACUUCCUAUCUCAGAAUCACAUGUCUCUCAUUGUCCUAGCUCAGGGUGAUAACACGGGAGGCAUGCCAGGUUACUUGUCACCCAAUAUUCAUUCUCCUGUUCUGAGUCAGAAAUGAAUGAGGGGCUUGGCUGUGAUGUUCUCCUCUGGACAGAGCCCUCACUUCCCAGCUGACUUGAGGCUGGUGUGGCCUUGUGUCCAGGUAUGUGGCCAACAGAGAUGUAAGUAGAAAUCUUACCAAUUCUUCCAGGAAGUCUUUUCAAAGAGAGACUGGACGACCUUCUCUCUUUCUCUCUCCAUCCUGCUGCUUGGGAAAGGGAUGUGACAUCUGGAGUCCUGGCAGCCACCUUGGAGCACAAGAUUAAGAGCCCCAGCUAAGGCAGGCAGAGUGGCUGGCGGAAGGGAGCAAGGGCCCCUGGGGAACUUACUGCUUACCCUGGGCUUCUUUAAAGUGGAAAAAAAAAAAAAAAAGAAAUUCCACUUCCUAUCAGCUCUUUUAUUCUGGAUGUCUCAGCCAAACACACCCAAACCCAAUACUGACAUAAGUUAUUUGUCAGUAUUGACAAAUAUUUGUAAAGUCUUCACUUUUGAAAUUAAAUAUAUUCACCGUGCUGUGUAAAGUAUAAUAUGAAUGCUUUUUUAAAAGUUAUUUGUUUACUGGGAUUAUAUUUGCCUGUGUGAGCCAAAAGAAGCAUUUCUGCCUAUUACCGUGGGAGUUUUCAGAGCAUGGGUCUAGGUGGCGAUAUCCCCACUGAAUCAAAAGGCAGACUCAGAAGUGGUUUUACAAAGAGAAAUAUGAACACUUUUCUCAUUGUGAGAUAACCAUUACAUCUCAGUUUAAAGAUCCAAAGCUAAUUUUGGAAAUUAUUUUUAAGGCACAGAGGAAAAACAUCAUGUGAGCUCACAGGUCUGACACAGUUGUGAACAGCUUGUUUUCUUAUAGAAAUGCUGUGGUGGCUGCCUGGGCUAGGGCAUUUGCAUUUCAACCAAAUGUUCUUUCAAAGUCAGAGCCAGAGCAGCUAGAAGCUUCCUUAAAACCAGGUGAACCCUAAACGUAGAAAUAGGAAAAACAGUGGCCUCCACUGUGUCCUUUCACAUCUCGGCCUCUGAACUUCAGCCUGAGACACUGGAAAGCUGCACCCUUCCUCUGUCUCCUCAAAUCCUGCAAGCCCCAAGGCACAUCACCCGACAUCAAAAGGCCAUCCUCAUUUCAGGUGGAUGUCCCAUUUGACUGACAGCAGCUACUUGUGUUUCAGAAUAGGAUUUGCUUAAAAAUCACUUGGUAUCCUUGUGAGCAGGGAGUCUCCCAAGGCCUGACUCCACAUUCUGCAGCAUUAGGUGAGCACAUGACCCAAAAAUCUAUGUCAUUUAUUACUUCCCAGGCACAUUGACUCAGAUGCUCCUUGGACCAUUCUCAGGAGUAUUGGUGUCGAUAUUACUGAUCUCAAAAUGAAACCAUCCCAGUUUCCCCAUGGAAAUGAUGUUUACCAGGUUUGGAUGGUUCUUUUGAAUAAACAGAAAUUGAUCCUCUGAUCUUAAAACUUGAAACUUACAUUUGUCUUAUCUGAGUUCCUUUCUUGGGCAAGGAACUGAAACUCACUAGAUGAACACAUCCAGGCUCUAAGACACCAGACCCCUCAUCCUUCAUGAUUGUUUCCUCAUGCCUCCCUAAUUUCUGUUUUUCUGCAUGUAGUUACAUUCCUGUGCACUAUAUUAAACCCCAGUGUUAGUCAGCUGGCGGGACAGGUUUGAGAAUUAUCUCUUGUCUUCUUGGCUAACACUACUCAAAUAGUGCUUUCUUCCUGGACAAUAUUUGUCAUCUCAGAGAUUGUCUUUCCAUGCAGGGAGCAAAGAGACCUGGACCUAACCCCUGGUGUUUUAGUAACAAAAAUUCAAAUCUUAAAAGGUGUUAUAUAUCAUAUCCUCCACUCCUAUAUGUCUAUAUUUGAG
rnacentral:lncRNA from 10 species